rnacentral:rRNA from 1 species
GCUGGCGGCAUGCUUAACACAUGCAAGUCGAACGGAAACGAUGGAAAGCUUGCUCUCCAGGCGUCGAGUGGCGGACGGGUGAGUAAUGCAUAGGAAUCUGCCCAGUAGCGGGGGACAACUUGGGGAAACUCAAGCUAAUACCGCAUACGCCCUACGGGGGAAAGCGGGGGACCUUCGGGCCUCGCACUAUUGGAUGAGCCUAUGUCUGAUUAGCUUGUUGGUAGGGUAACGGCCUACCAAGGCGACGAUCAGUAGCUGGUCUGAGAGGACGAUCAGCCACACUGGGACUGAGACACGGCCCAGACUCCUACGGGAGGCAGCAGUGGGGAAUAUUGCACAAUGGGCGAAAGCCUGAUGCAGCAAUGCCGCGUGUGUGAAGAAGGCCUGCGGGUUGUAAAGCACUUUCAGUUGGGAGGAAAAGCAAUGGGCCAAUACCCCGUUGUCUUGACGUUACCUACAGAAGAAGCACCGGCUAACUCUGUGCCAGCAGCCGCGGUAAUACAGAGGGUGCAAGCGUUAAUCGGAAUUACUGGGCGUAAAGCGCGCGUAGGCGGCUUGGUCAGUCGGAUG